UAUUCAUCACGGAGCCCUUUUCAACGAUUCCUGAGUGUAUGCUACUGAGGGCACCCUUGGUGGGCCCCUAGAUAAUUUCAAGAUGGGGGGCUGGUGGCCUGAGGAUCCAACCAUGCGAUUGGAUUUCCAACCCUGCUCUGCUCCCAUAGCCCUCCCAGAGUCCAGGGAGGGGAGGGGGGCUGGAAAUUGAAUGGGAUCACCAAGGGCCAAUGAGUUAAUGCACCGUGCCUGUGUGAUGGCACCUCCAGAAACACCCUACGUGGAGGAGUUCGGAGACUAUCUGAGUCGAAGAAUCUGGAUAUGAUAAAGAGAUCACGGGGCUCAAGGAUGAAGCUCCUACUCUGCCAGUAAGCCUCUUGGAGCAGCAUGUGUAGGCAGCUGGCACGUCUGACCAGGCUCCUGGAGGAGGAACUUUUAGAAAAGAGAAACAGAACGUUUCUCCAAACAGAAUGAUGGCCCUUGAUAGAGUCACCUGGAUGCUCUCUGAGCUCUCCGCUGUGCCCUGGAGCUUUCCUCUGAGCAUCGGUUCUCGUCACCUGAUGUACUCACCUCCUGCUGAGCCCUCCACCGCAACCCAGGUGUUGGGGUGGGGCGACCCCCCACUCCAUCCAGGCGGGGUAUUUGUGCCUUCGGAACCGGGCAGAAGGAGUUUGGCUCUGGGGAGACAGUGCCUUUGAUCCUAGAGGUGGCAGGAAUACACCUGGAUCACUUGUUCCUAAUCUUUCCAUGGUUGUAGACGCCUGAAAGCUAUAAAUCUACCCCCACCUCUUCGCCCCAGGAAAACCUGUGGAUUUUUCUGUAUGACUUCAGCAUAAACCACAGCAUGCACGGGGGUCCUGGAGACGCCGUCCGGGGCGUACAACCCUUAGCUCAACAACCCCAGCACCCCGGGUACACUGCAGCCACAUUCCUCCCUGGGGCCUACCCACCCCUUGUCAUCAACUUGACGCAGCAAAUUUCUCUGUGAUUCAUUAACUCUUCCUUCCUUGCAUCACUGACCUUGUGCCUGCUGUUCCAAAGGCUGGUCGUCACGUGCCUCCUUCUUCCUCUGGCCAUCAUCCUGUUGGGCAAGAUAAACGCGCUUCCCAGCCCUCAGGCACCUCUUGCCCGGCACGAAAUGCCCACUGACCAACCCCUGCUCCUCUCACCCUGGCCCGCUCCCCUAGCCUCUGGAGCAAGGCUCGGUAGGAGAGAGCCCUUUCCCUCCAACCUUUUGCCAUCUGGAUCAGUCUUCCGGAACAUUCCUGAAAGCUGUAAAUCUUCCAAGUAAACUUGAUUUUCCUUUCUGGCUCUCGCCUGUAAA